rnacentral:rRNA from 1 species
AACGAACGCUGGCGGCAGGCCUAACACAUGCAAGUCGAGCGGACCCUUCGGGGUUAGCGGCGGACGGGUGAGUAACGCGUGGGAAUAUGCCCUUCUCUACGGAAUAGUCCUGGGAAACUGGGGGUAAUACCGUAUACGCCCUUUGGGGGAAAGAUUUAUCGGGGAAGGAUUAGCCCGCGUUGGAUUAGGUAGUUGGUGGGGUAAUGGCCUACCAAGCCGACGAUCCAUAGCUGGUUUGAGAGGAUGAUCAGCCACACUGGAACUGAGACACGGCCCAGACUCCUACGGGAGGCAGCAGUGGGGAAUCUUAGACAAUGGGGGCAACCCUGAUCUAGCCAUGCCGCGUGAGUGAUGAAGGCCUUAGGGUUGUAAAGCUCUUUCAGCUGGGAAGAUAAUGACGGUACCAGCAGAAGAAGCCCCGGCUAACUCCGUG